UCCUACAUUGAAGAAGGAAAAUGUUGUUAUUGAAAAAGAUGUUGUAGAUAGGUAUGUUUGAAGUUAGUUUACUGGUAGGUUUUCAGGGUAGGCCUAUGCAUGGAUAACUGAGUAUUAGAAACAAAUCAGUACUAGACAAGUGGAGGAAGAGGCCCGCUGUUGAUGUGCCGAGGACCCCCAGUGGGUUAGGUAAUUGCUUCCGGCAAAGGCCUAUAACAAAUGUGUUGACAAAAUCCUUCAAUAUUAAGCUAGAGUUACCAUUGUUUGGUUACAACAUGGGAAAAUAGAGGGAGUUGAGGGGGGCACAGCAUUGAGAUAGGUUAGAGCUGUGUGUAGUACGAGCCUCCCAUAGCUCAGAGGGGCCAGCCUCAGACAGACUGGUUAAGGAGUGCUACGCGGCUCUCCCGCCUUGGUGGGCGCCGAUUUAAUCCCCGGGGCCGGCAAAACCUUCCCUUGUCUGGAUUAAUUUCUCGUGUGUUAAGUUACAGACUGUGCUCGUGUGAGAGUGUAGAAAAGAGAAAAUUCAGGGCGUUUCAUGUGGUCCACAACAGGGAUAUCGUGUGCUGGCCCCAGGCGCUGAAAAGUCACUCAUUUAGUGGUACAUAGGGUGCUUCGUGGUGCAGUGGUUAGCACACUCGGCUCACGACUGAGAGAGCCCAGGUUUGAUUCCCGGGCGGAGUGGAAAAAUUUGGGCGGCUUUUCUGAUACCCUACGCCCCUGUCCACCCAGCAGUGAAUGGGUACCAGCGUGAAGAUGUCAGGUCGUGACGCGGUCGGCGCACCUUCCAGAACGCCAACCAGGUGGUGGAGUUGACCACACGCACCAUUCCCAAGGCUCAACACCACCACCACCAGCGAGGACAUCAACACCAUUCACCACCACCAUUGAAACCAGAUCACACCACCACCACCAAGGUGCUCUAUGAAGGGUUUAGUGUCCAUGUCGUCAAGUCCAUCUCCCUCAAUCUGUUCUGGGACCAUUUUAGUUGCAGUUCUCUGUAUCCUUUCCAACUCCACAUACUCCACCACUUCUUCCCGCAAGCUGUUCCAUGUGUUAACACUUCUAUGUGAAAAACUUUAUUUUUUCCAGUCACUCAAACAGGUUCCUUUAUUAAGUUUCUUUCCGUGUCCUCUCAGCCCCUGCGUUACUGCUGAUAAGAAGAGAUCAUCCCUAUCUACCUCAUCAAACAGGGGGCUUCGUGGUGCAGUGGUUAGCACACUCGGCUCACAUCCGAGAGAGCCCAGGUUCGAUUCCCGGGCGGAGUUGAAAAAUUUGGGCGGCUUUUCCGAUACCCUACGCCCCUGUCCACCCAGCAGUGAAUGGGUACCAGGUAUUAAUAGGGGGUUGUGUCCCGUCUCCUGGGGUCUGUUCCCUUCUCCUAUAAUUCCUUCCCCUUCUGUCUCUCUCUGGCAUGUGACCACAGAUGUUGCACCCACUAAACCAAACUUUCCAACUGUUCCCUUCUCCUAUAAUUCCUUCCCCUUCUGUCUCUCCGGCAUAUGACCACAGAUGUUGCGCUGCCCACUAAACAAAACUUUCCAACUUUUUCCUCAUCAAACUUAUUUACCAACUUGUACAGUGCGAUCAGAUCUCCUCUCUCUCUUCUUUGUUCCAGUGUCGUCAAGUCCAUCUCCCUCAAUGUCUUCAUACGUCAUAUUCGAGAGUUCUGGGACCAUUUUGUUGCAAUUCUCUGUCUUGAGUCCAACAUAAUAAUCUUCCUUUGCAUGGUUUUUCCUUUUUUCCUUAUAUGCCUCAUCUUGGUAUUCAAAUCCUUCCAUAGUUUUCAUCUGUCAUAGUUGAUGGCCAUUCUUUCCUAAGGGGCACUCAUGACUGACUCCUUCAUCUAACUCAACAUUUUUUGUGAAAAUUAGGUCAAGUCUUGAUGGUUGGUCAUCCCCUCUUAGCCUUGUUUCUCCUUUAACCCACUGCAUCAACAGGCUAUCACAUCAGGUGUGUGUGUGUGUGUGUGUGUGUGUGUGUGUGUGUGUGUGUGUGUGUGUGUGUGUGUGUGUGUGUGUGUGUGUGUGUGUGUGUGUUUACCUAGUUGUAGUUUUACAGGGCCUGGGCUUUACGCUGGUGUAGUCCUGUCUCCGUAUCUACAUUUAUCCAACUUUUCCUUGAAGCCUUGCACACUCCUUUCUGAUACUACAUCCUCACUUAGUCUGUUCCAAACCUCUAUAUUUCUUUGCGGGAAGCUAUAUUUCUUUAUGUCUCUCAAGCAUCUUCCCUUCCUCAAUUUUUUACUGUGUCCUCUUGUGUUCCUGGCGGUAAUUUCUUCUUUUAGUGGUAACUCCUCGUUGUCUACUUCUUCCAUUUUGCUCAAUAAUUUGUAGAUUUGUAUUAGGUCUCCCGUUUCUCUUCUUUGUUCUAGUGUUGGUAAGUCCAUUUCCUUUAGUCUCUCCUCGUAUGUCAAUCCCUGGAACCAUUUUUGUUGCCAUCUUUUGUAUUCUUUCUAGUUUCUUGAUGUGUUUCUUCUUAUGGGGAGACCACACUGCCUCUGCAUGUGUGUGUGUGUGUGUGUGUGUGUGUGUGUGUGUGUGUGUGUGUGUGUGUAAGAUUGACUGACUGAUGAAUGAAUAACUGCGAUUAAGGUUGGUAUUACAAGACACUCUCCCUUCUCACAUCAGCUACUUCUAAAGGUCAAAGGGGGAUAUCAGUCAGGUUCUAAUGAGUGUUUUUCAGGCUCAUGGUACAGAAGAAGGGUUAAACUACCACCAGGGUCACAAAACUACUCCUGGAAAUGCCCACAACUCCUGCGAAAGCCUUGUCAAAUAGGUGUUCUUGGGCGGCAAAAUGUCUUCUAAUACGACCCUAAGUAAAUAACUUCCUGAUGGAGUGGAUGAUUGACUUGGCAACCAGUAGCUUUACUCUCAGCCAUUUCAAGUUCCCGACUGAUGUACUGACACCCUCAGAUUGGCUACAGUGAAGGUCGUGGCAGAGAGUGUACUCAAACUCCUACUGUGAGCUACUCCUGAUGCCUGCGCCCUCACCACCCCUGUGAAGGACGCCCAGCUGACCCAACCCUCCUCGGUGUGUGUUGAUGCUGGGACCAAGAAGAAGAAGAAGAGGAAGAGGAGGAGAAGGAAGAAGAUGGUAAUUGCAACAGAAGAUCAGAAGAAGAAGAGGAAGAAGAA